rnacentral:tRNA from 1 species
GCUCCCUUAGCUCAGUUGGUAAGUAGCAACGCCCUCAUAAGGCGGAGGUCGCUGGUUCAAGCCCAGCAGGGAGCA